AUUGAACGCUGGCGGCAGGCUUAACACAUGCAAGUCGAGCGGAGAUGAGGUGCUUGCACCUUAUCUUAGCGGCGGACGGGUGAGUAAUGCUUAGGAAUCUGCCAUUUAGUGGGGGACAACAUUCCGAAAGGAAUGCUAAUACCGCAUACGUCCUACGGGAGAAAGCAGGGGAUCUUCGGACCUUGCGCUAAAUGAUGAGCCUAAGUCGGAUUAGCUAGUUGGUGGGGUAAAGGCCUACCAAGGCGACGAUCUGUAGCGGGUCUGAGAGGAUGAUCCGCCACACUGGGACUGAGACACGGCCCAGACUCCUACGGGAGGCAGCAGUGGGGAAUAUUGGACAAUGGGGGGAACCCUGAUCCAGCCAUGCCGCGUGUGUGAAGAAGGCCUUAUGGUUGUAAAGCACUUUAAGCGAGGAGGAGGCUACUGAGACUAAUACUCUUGGAUAGUGGACGUUACUCGCAGAAUAAGCACCGGCUAACUCUGU
rnacentral:rRNA from 1 species